AACGAACGCUGGCGGCAGGCCUAACACAUGCAAGUCGAACGGUUGUAGCAAUACAGCAGUGGCGCACGGGUGAGUAACGCGUGGGAACGUGCCCUUCAGUACGGAAUAACAGUUGGAAACGACUGCUAAUACCGUAUAUUCCCUCCGGGGGAAAGAUUUAUCGCUGAAGGAUCGGCCCGCGUAAGAUUAGGUAGUUGGUGGGGUAAUGGCCUACCAAGCCUACGAUCUUUAGCUGGUCUGAGAGGAUGAUCAGCCACACUGGAACUGAGACACGGUCCAGACUCCUACGGGAGGCAGCAGUGGGGAAUAUUGGACAAUGGGCGAAAGCCUGAUCCAGCCAUGCCGCGUGAGUGAUAAGGCCUUAGGGUUGUAAAGCUCUUUCGCCGAUGAAGAUAAUGACGGUAGUCGGAGAAGAAGCCCCGGCUAACCUCGUGCCAGCCGCCGCCGUAA
rnacentral:rRNA from 1 species